GCUUCCUCCCAAACCUCCUCCGGGGAGUCCCUGCCUCUCCUCGGCCCUCAUUCGCCCACCCACGGUCCCAAUCCUCACCGAUCUCUUUCUCGUUGACCCUCGGGGGAAAGCUGGCCAUCUAUGGGGCACCGUCUGAUUCCGGGAAUACGAUGCGGACCCAACGACAGAGAAGAGAGUGGCGACCGCUGAGGGGCGUGACGCGAAGUUGGUCCCUCCCGGGCCCGGGGACAGCGGAGACGGGCGGAGGCGGCCGCUGCGGCUUCUGCUAACUGCCCCGGGAAAGCUCCCGAAGGCCUCAGACCAAAGUACGGAGUCAACCACAGACAACAGACCCUGUACCCAGCCUCGCGCCUGCGGAGCAACACAGUUCCCCUAACGCGCCGACUGCAAACAAGACACUGGAGUCAAAAUGGCGGGCGGCGCAGGAGAUAUCUGGGCAGCAGGGGCGCGGCCACGUGACGUCACAGCCCGCGGCCCCGCUUCCCGACGCACAGGACGUGAUCUCCCCAGCCGGGCGGGCGCGCGGGAGUUGCCUGGGGGCCUCGCAGGGGGGAUCCAGCCCAGGCUGGUUCCGCUGACUGUGCCUGUAGGCCGGUGGCGUCUUCUGGGCCUGGAUGGUCUAAUAUGGAGUUUAUAAGCUGAAGUGGCUUUGAAAAGGGCAAGCAGAGAAUUGUGUUAUUAUUAGCCUCCUAGCUUAAAGAUUGCAUGGAACUUAAACUGGCUGAACUGAAAAGAACAAAAAGACAUUUCAGGUUUUCACUCAAUUUGGCCAACUCCCCAGCCCACAAGUACUAGGGAACUGAAGGAUGCACUGAUGAAAAAGACAGGAUGAAAAUUAACAUCGUUGUACACCACCUGUCCAGCUGCGAUUGUUUGGACCUGAGCCAGCAGGUUUUAGGAAGGGCCGAGGGGAACGAGAAGGAGACUCUGGCGUGAUCGCGCCGCACCGCGCCGCGGAGCCUCCCUGGACUGCCUUUGUCCUGGCCAAGAUGGAUCCUACUGUGUCAGCUCAGAAUUGGUCCUUCCUCCACCUUACCUGAAGGCCUCUGGGAGGCACCUAGUUGUCCACACAUCAGACUGAUAAAUGUGUCAGUGUCUGCCAGAUGCCAGCUUGGUUCCCGGUCACAGAUGACAUAUUUGCAUUUUAAUGGCUUCUUGUGUGGACCCUAAACAUUGCAAAGGCCUGGGGCGUAUAAGACUGGGAAUUUCAAAUAUGUGGCAGAUAUUCAUGGGACAGAGUAGAGUGUUGCAUAGCCGCUUUUUUUUGAAACGGAGUCUCGCUUCUCCCAGGCUGGGGUGCGAUGGCGUGAUCUUGGCUCACUGCAACCUCCAUCUCCCGAGUUCAAGCAAUUCUCCUGCCUCAGCCUCCCCAGUAGCUGGGAUUUGUACAGGCAUGUGACACCAAGCCCAGUCUCCCUGGGUGAUGGCAACCUCUUUCUUGGGUUUAAAUACCAGCUCUGUGUGAAGACCCUCAAGUUGAGAGCUAACUUCCAUCUUUUUUUUUUUUUUGAGACGGAGUCUUGCUUUGUCGCCCAGGCUGGAGUGCAACAGCGCGAUCUCAGCUCACUGCAACCUUCGCCUCCUGGACUCAAGCAGUUCUCCUAUGUCAGCCUUCCCGGUAGGUGGGAUUACAGGUGCACACCACCAUGUCCGGCUAAUUUUUGUAUUUUUAGUAAAGACAUUGUUUCACCAUGUUGACCAGGUUGGUCUCGAACUCCUGACCUCAGGUGAUCCAACUGUGUCGGCUUCCCAAAGUGCUGGGAUUACAGGCGUGAGCCACUGAGCCCGGCCUGUCUUAAGUUUAAAAUUUACAUGUUCAAAUGCUUACAAUAAAACUCAAAAUGUCAAAACCGA